GACGAACGCUGGCGGCGUGCUUAACACAUGCAAGUCGAACGGAAAGGCCCUGCUUUUGUGGCGUGCUCGAUUGGCGAACGGGUGAGUAACACGUGAGUAUCCUGCCCUUGUCUUUGGGAUAACUUCUGGAAACUGGGGCUCUUACCGCAUAUGAUCUCCUGCUGCAUGUUGGGGGUUGGAAAGUUCGGGCGGUUGUGGAUGGACUCGCGGCUUAUCAGCUUGUUUGUGUGGUAGUGGCUUACCAAGGCUUUGAGGGGUAGCCGGCCUGAGAGGGUGAACGGCGACAUGGGGACUGAGAUAGGGACCAGAAGGGAACGGGAGGCAGUAGGGGGGAAUAUGGCACAAUGGGCGGAAGUGAGAGGCAGAAAUGCCCGGUGCGGAAUAAUGGCUUACGGGUGGAAAACAGAUGUGGAAGGUGACGAAGAGGGAGUGACGGUAAUGGGUAAAGAAGCACCGGCUAACUACGUG
rnacentral:rRNA from 1 species